UGGGGAAUAUUGCGCAAUGGGGGAAACCCUGACGCAGCGACGCCGCGUGUGGGAUGAAGGUCUUCGGAUUGUAAACCACUGUCGCGAGGGACGAAGCUCUGACGGUACCUCGAAAGGAAGCACCGGCUAACUCUGUGCCAGCAGCCGCGGUAAUACAGAGGGUGCGAGCGUUGUCCGGAAUCACUGGGCGUAAAGGGCGCGUAGGCGGCCCGGUAAGUAGGGGGUGAAAUCUCAUGGCUCAACUGUGAGGCUGCCUUCUAGACUGCCAGGCUUGAGCACAGUAGAGGCGAGUGGAAUUCCCGGUGUAGCGGUGGAAUGCGUAGAGAUCGGGAAGAACAUCGGUGGCGAAGGCGGCUCGCUGGAACAUUUCUGACGCUGAGGCUCGAAAGCGUGGGGAGCAAACAGGAUUAGAUACCCAUGUAGUCCCUGAGCGGGCUGGCAAGGCGCAU
rnacentral:rRNA from 1 species